rnacentral:lncRNA from 1 species
UGGGGGGUAACUCGCUGUGCUGCUGAGGUUGCCGGAAAAGGCGGUCCUCGACCAUGUGUAACCAAGAAAUCCACAGUCUAAAACUAGGAGACUGAUAUGAGGAUUUGGUCACAACUAAAUGUUAAACCUAAAUAACCAUGCACCAUAAACUAGCAGUAAUACACAGAAGAUUAAUUCCACUUAGUAUAUAAUUUAUUUCCAAGACUGGAACUUGUCACCAAGCCUGUGAC